CUCACCCGGCCUGUGAUUAGGACUAAUGCUGGGCUGUAUUUCACUGGACGUGGCUAACCAAAAUUACUGCUUGCGCGCGUACUAAUGCAACCACAAGAGGGGAAACACUGGUUUCUGCUGCAUAACUAGUCAAACACUAACUCUUCUUCAAAAUGCUAUCUGAAUAGCAAGCAAGCACGCCCUGCUGAAGAGGAAACUGAUUUGAAGGCAUGAUCAACUAGGCUGAUUGAUGGCAGAAUCCAAGCAACGAUCGGAAUCCACUGUGUGAGACACUGAAACUGCCAUCACACAUCAAAUUGAAAGCCCCCCCGGUAUGCAGCAGCCAGCUCACUCGACCCGCCUCCCUUGCACGGUUGUAGCGAUCUGCCACACCAGGCUGCCUGCAACAUUGAGGCAGCUCAGGAGCCGCUACUACUCACACAUCACCACCCACCAACCCCCCUGCACCACCUCCACCAACCAUCCCCUCCCUCUCCCUCGUUUUCACUAGCGCUGCAAAAGGUAUCCUGUAUCGAUUUUUGCCCCCCAACACCACCACCACUCUUAAUAAUACAGGCUAUAAUGAUGCCAGCCGUGAUCAGUGCAUUUGGAGGGGGGAACAAGGAUGGAACCCCGAUAAGGGAAUCCAUGGUGAUGUUUAAACGCUAAAACCUCUGCAUGCAAUGCAAUUAACUAUCUAUCUCGUUGCCAUUGCUGAUAAUGAGCCACCAGAGAAAGAGAGACGACUGGCUUGAAAACAUACGGCCGGUGGAUAGCACCUAAUGUUUAUAAUUAUUAUGUGUACGGAGCAUUUGUGGGUCAAGGUUCAAUGUUAUUUGUUUCUAAUUCUCUGUUUGAAAAAAACAUGGAAUUCACAAUGCAGUGUACACAAUGGAAUGAAAAGAGUGUAAUAAGUAUUUAAUUAAAAUUAUUUUUGCUGAUAUUUUUAAAUAUUUCAAUAUCCUUUUGUAUAGCACGUGUACACAUCAACAGUAUACAUUAUACUUAUCUGAAUACACAACUGUGUGUACAUAUACAGUGUAUCACAAAAGUGAGUACACCCCUCGCGUUUCUGCAGAUAUUUAAGUAUACCUUUUCAUGGGACAACACUGACAAAAUGACACUUUGACACAAUGAAAAGUAGUUUGUGUGCAGCUUAUAUACCGGUAAUAGAGUUAAUUCAUUUCUCCCUCAAAAUACAGCCAUUAAUAUCUAAACCCCUGGCAACAAAAGUAAGUACACAACUAUGAAAAAACGUACAUCCUUAAAUGUCUAAAUUGAGUACUGCUUGUCAUUUUCCCUCCAAAAUGUCAUGUC